rnacentral:rRNA from 1 species
AUUGAACGCUGGCGGCAGGCCUAACACAUGCAAGUCGAGCGAGCGGCGGACGGGUGAGUAAUGUAUGGGGAACUGCCCGAUAGAGGGGGAUAACUACUGGAAACGGUAGCUCAUACCGCAUAAUAUCGGAUGGACCCAUAUGGGAUUAGCUAGUAGGUGGGGUAAAUGCUCACCUAGGCGACGAUCUCUAGCUGGUCUGAGAGGAUGCUCAGCCACAAUGGAACUGAGACACGUCCCAGACUCCUACGGGAGUCAGCAGUGGGGAAUAUUGCACAAUGGGCGCAAGCCUGAUGCAGCCAGGCCGCGUGUAUGAAGAAGGCCUUCGGGUUUUAAAGUACUUUCAGCGGGGAGGCGUUACCCGCAGAAGAAGCACCGGCUAACUCCGUGCCAGCAGCCGCGGUAAUUC